AGUGGGGAAUCUUCCGCAAUGGGCGAAAGCCUGACGGAGCAACGCCGCGUGAGUGAUGAAGGCCUUUGGGUCGUAAAACUCUGUCUUCAGGGAAGAAAGAAAUGACGGUACCUGAGGAGGAAGCCCCGGCUAACUACGUGCCAGCAGCCGCGGUAAAACGUAGGGGGCGAGCGUUGUCCGGAAUUACUGGGCGUAAAGGGCGUGUAGGUGGCUCGUGAAGUCAGGAGUGAAAGUCCGGGGCUCAACCCUGGGAUUGCUUUUGAAACCAACGGGCUUGAGUGCAGGAGAGGGAAGUGGAAUUCCCAGUGUAGCGGUGAAAUGCGUAGAUAUUGGGAGGAACACCAGUGGCGAAAGCGGCUUCCUGGCCUGCAACUGACACUGAGGCGCGAAAGCGUGGGGAGCAAACAGGAUUAGAUACCCUGGUAGUCCACGCCGUAAACGAUGGGUGCUAAGUGUUGGGGGUAUCGACCCCUCCAGUGCUGUAGUUAACGCAAUAAGCACCCCGCCUGGGGAGUACGGUCGCAAGACUGAAACUCAAAGGAAUUGACGGGGGCCCGCACAAGCGGUGGAGCAUGUGGUUUAAUUCGACGCAACGCGAAGAACCUUACCAGGGAUUGACAUCCCCUGACCGGGUGUGAAAGCACCCUUUCUCCUUCGGGGGACAGGGAGACAGGUGGUGCAUGGUUGUCGUCAGCUCGUGUCGUGAGAUGUUGGGUUAAGUCCCGCAACGAGCGCAACCCUUACGUUUAGUUGCUAACGGGUAGAGCCGAGCACUCUAGACGAACUGCCGUUGACAAAACGGAGGAAGGUGGGGAUGACGUCAAAUCAUCAUGCCCCUUAUACCCUGGGCGACACACGUGCUACAAUGGUCCGUACAGAGGGCGGCGAGCCGGUGACGGUAAGCGAAUCCCUUAAAACGGAUCUCAGUUCGGAUUGCAGGCUGCAACCCGCCUGCAUGAAGUCGGAAUCGCUAGUAAUCGCAGGUCAGCAUACUGCGGUGAAUACGUUCCCGGGCCUUGUACACACCGCCCGUCACACCACGAAAGCUGACAACACCCGAAGCCGGUGACUUAACUUGCAAGAGGGAGAGCCGUCGAAGGGUGGGGGGGUGAUUGGGGUG
rnacentral:rRNA from 1 species